rnacentral:sRNA from 1 species
UUUGGAGGACGCAGGUCAACCCACCGCAUGAGGGUGGGCCUCCCUGCAGGGCUGCGGUCCCUCUCUCGGUGUCCCUGUGGCGGGGCUGAUGCUGCUCUCUGUCCACAGUGUGCACCAGGGGGCUGCCUGAUGGAGCUAUGCAUCCAGCUCAGCAUCAUCAUGCUGGGGAAACAGCUGAUCCAGAACAACCUGUUCGAGAUCGGCAUCCCGAAGAUGAAGAAGUUCAUCCGCUACCUGAAGCUGAAGCGGCAGAGCCCCCCUGACCACGAGGAGUGUGUGAAGAGGAAGCAGCGGUACGAGGUGGAUUACAACCUGGAGCCCUUCGCGGGCCUCACCCCAGAGUACAUGGAAAUGAUCAUCCAGUUUGGCUUUGUCACCCUGUUUGUCGCCUCCUUCCCCCUGGCCCCGCUGUUUGCGCUGCUGAACAACAUCAUUGAGAUCCGCCUGGACGCCAAAAAGUUUGUCACUGAGCUCCGAAGGCCGGUAGCUGUCAGAGCCAAAGACAUCGGAAUCUGGUACAAUAUCCUCAGAGGCAUUGGGAAGCUUGCUG